rnacentral:rRNA from 1 species
CUGGUUGUCUCAAAGAUUAAGCCAUGCAUGUCUAAGUCCAAGCUGUGUUCACACGGCGAGACCGCGGACGGCUCAUUAAAUCAGUCGUGGUCCAAAUGGGCCAGUGCAAAUCCUACUUGGUUAACUGUCGUAAUUCCAGAGCUAAUACAUGCAACUGAUAUCCCGAGGCGGUGUUUGUUCUUGCUUGUCUUGCGCUUUCAUUGCUCUGACGGAUGCUUUUAUUAGACCAAGCCGCUGAGGACUUGAGGGUUCGCGCUCUCUUCUUUGACUCGUGUGAUGGUGACUCUGGAUAACCAAAAUCUGACAAGCGCACGUACUUCUCUUCUUGAGCGAGACGCGCUGCGACGUUCGAGUGUCUGCCUUAUCAGCUAUCAACCGUCCGUUAUGCCCGACCGAUGGCUUUCACGGGUAACGGGGGAUCAGGGUUCGAUUCCGGAGAGGCAGCCUGAGAGACGGCUACCACGUCCAAGGACGGCAGCAGGCACGCAAAUUACCCAAUCCCAGCAAAUGGGGGAGGUAGUGACGAAAUCCAACGAUGCGCGCGCCCUUUCUGGGCCCCCAAACGCAAUGGGCACUUUCUAAACAACCUGUUGAAGAACCUACUGAAGG